rnacentral:lncRNA from 1 species
AUCCCCUGGCACUUUUGAAAGACCUGGGCAGCUAUCUGUGGUGUCUUGGCCAGAUUUCAGUUGGCUUAAAGAUUUUCCAUUGACCUAAAUUCCCUCUGCAUUGUGUCAGUGGCCCCGGGGCUGGGUGUUUUUUGCUAUACAGAGUUGUUGACAAUCAGUUAGCAAAGUCUGUAAAGCGAUUUGGGACAUGUUUGGAUGAGAGGUGCCGUAGAAACACAAGAGCAUUAAGGGCUCUAAGGUGCAUCCACACCAGGCUUUUACAACCUGGCACUGUGGUAAAUGCCUAGUGUGGACAAGGCUGCCCCUAGUGUUUACCUGAUACUACAUGAAAACUGCAAACUGCCCCGUCUUCACUAGGACUUUACCGUGUGUUCACUAAUGUGGUAACAUCCCCCUUUUUUUCCUAGUGAAGACAAGGCCUACACGGCCUGGACUCCUCCUCUGCCCCCAGGCCGUGCUGCUGCAGAUGGGAUCAGUGGAGGUUCCCAAGAGAGACCCCCCUGCCACACACAGUGAAAAGAACGUCCUUAGGAAAGCAAUUGUGCUCCAUCAGCUAACCUGUCUCCUAUGCCUAGAGGUCUUAAAUCAUCAUUCACCUGCCAGCCAGGCAUCACACCGUCAGGUGCUUUGUGAAGAAAACAGUCGAUACGGAGUCCAAGACACAGGUCUGCUGCUGGGAGCUGCCAGAGCCCAUUGCGUUCAGUGCCAGCCUAUACAGUGUUUGCAGGAACAGGGCCUCCAAGGGAUGGCUGCCAACCCCAAAUCCUGGACCAGUCUGGGAUGUCCUUUGAGGUCUCCUCCCGUCCAGGGGCUAGAGCAGAUUCAUCCCUGCAGAGCUGGUGAGAGCUAGCCAGUGCCCGGCCAGGUGAAGAACCCUCUUCACUCCGUGACGUUUCAGAUAUGCUGGCACCUGUCCGGCCAGCACGGUCUGACAUCCCCACUGCCACCGCUGCUGAGGGUAAUUCCAGCCGUGCAGCUGCCUUGACACAUUGCUCUGUUACUGUUGGACAAGAUCACUGUGGCGUGGCGGGCUCGGUAAAGGCAAUGCAUCGAUACAAUCAAUCUCCUCGUCAGACUCAUCCCCACCCACAGAAAGCUGUCUGCAAUGGAACUGACUUCUCCCCUUUAACCACCACACUGAACAUUAUCAGCCAAAGGAGACGGUGCUCCUGACAGUUAAUCAUAGCUUUGUUAUCCUUUUUGUCUGACUCACUGUACCAGAUUCUACACAAUAUUCUCUCUUGGAUUUCAAACCCCCUUCUCCUCACAUUCUCUGACUCAGCCUGAACUUCCUGUUAUUGCUUAUUUGUUUCUGGCAACACCUCCUACGUGCCAGGCACUGUACAAACUGGCCCUGAUCCUGAAAGUUAUAUUCAGCCCCUGCAGCCAAAGGGAGCCCUCUCACCUGCCUGGAAUAGAACAGAAGGUGCCGUUUCUCACCUGUGUGUUAUGUCACUUGCAAACAGUUCCACUGCAGAGAGCUAAGGACCAAAAUGUUUCGCAUCUUCUCUGAGAGAUGCCACCAAGCUAUUUAAUUCUCUUUUCUAGCACGUCUGGUGCUGGAGUGUUCCUUGUAUCUAAGGAAGUUAUUGAAGUAAGGAAUGAACCCUUAGCAAGUAGGACAGCUUUUGAAUUAGGAGUGCAAGGAAGAGCUUGUUUUAUCUCAGAAAUUCUUUGAGGAAUAGCACGAGGGCUAAGAGGAAAGUAUUUAAAGCACUGGAACCAUUCCCCAAACUGCUGGUUGUAACCCUGUGGUUACACUGUUUGCCUAGGAUCUAUUUUCUAAUAUGCUGAUGAACAACUUGAAAAAAGUCUUGCCCAAGUCAGAAUCCAAACUCCCAUUGACGCCAUUGAGCUCGCCCUAA